rnacentral:rRNA from 1 species
UACGGGGGGGGCAAGCGUUGUUCGGAAUUACUGGGCGUAAAGGGCUCGUAGGCGGCUUUGCAAGUCGGAUGUGAAAUCCCUCGGCUUAACCAAGGAAGUGCAUCCGAAACUGCAGAGCUUGAGUACUUAAGAGGAUCGCGGAAUUCCCGGUGUAGAGGUGAAAUUCGUAGAUAUCGGGAGGAACACCAGUGGCGAAGGCGGCGAUCUGGGAAGAUACUGACGCUGAGGUGCGAAAGCGUGGGGAGCAAACAGG